rfam:Populus trichocarpa isolate Nisqually-1 chromosome 15, whole genome shotgun sequence.
AAAAUGAGAGCCAGUUAGGAUAGCCAAAGGAGACUGCCUAUGAACCCUACCAGUCAGCUCUGAACGACAUUUCAUUCUUUUGAGAACCCCAUGGAGGAAAUAGGCUAGUCGUCCUUGGCUACCAAACCCUCUACCUCUUCAUCU